GCGAAGAGCUCAACCUAAAAAGCCAAAGUGGACCAAAAGCAGCAUGUUGGUUUCAUGCUCUGUGUAUUUUUUUUUUCCUGAAGAAUUACAGCGUAUCUCCUAAUCUCGGGAUGGGGGCUAAUCUGAACUCUGGAUAAUGAACUGCUCGUUCCGGCGACAAAAACAACGCACAUUCUAGGAUGGAACCCAAAGACCAAGCGGUGAAUCUCCUCGGCAAAAUUUGGGCCAAGCUACAGAGUUUGCCCAGUGCCAACCCAGUCGAGUUGGGGGGUUUCUUCAUCCUCUUAACAUUCAUCUUGGUGGUUGUUGCCAUGGCUGUCCUGAUCUGCACGACAUACUCUUGUUGCUGCUGCUGCUGUUGCCGCAGGGACAAAAAGGAGGGGGCAAACAUUUGAAGGCAUCUCAACUACACCCAUUUUGUACACCAGUUAGCGUCAUUAACUUCAUUUAAACCACGCAAACUUCAAAACAGGUUUGCACCAAGGGUGCCAAGUCUGACCGAGACAACCUGUGAUGGGACUCAAGAGGCCCCGCCCUCAAAAGCAACUGACACGAACAACGAUGCCCUGACUCACUGCUCAACACACCUUCUGAAGCUGACUAUCAAGACAAUCGACAUUCCUUGAAUCAGCCGGGCGCACCGAGCUCCUGGCUAAAGGAUGGGACACAACCAAACCAUAAUUAAACAUGUCACCCCAUAAACGGAAGUUGGGUCCAGAAAACAUGACGAUUUAGGUCAACGUGCUUUUUUUUUCAAAUCUAGUUCAGAACAAAUUCAAAUAGUUUUCUCUGCCUGCUUUAACUUCAUUCGGAAGGAAUGUGUUUGAUUGUAACGAGCUGCUGUUGGCAGUUGGAGAGCAUCCGGAAACCAGUUUUGCUUCUUAACUGGUCAAGUCUGCCCCCUGCUGUCCAGAAAAGAAAAAACAACCCGAUUCGUUUCCAACUAAUCCUUCCUUAUGAAACACUAAAAAUGUAGUAGUCAAUGUACAAAGCAAAGUGGUAACUAUUUGCCACAGACGUUUGCUUGACUAUCCUGCUACAAGCCAAUAAGCACGUGUGUGACAUUGUCACUUACCUUUCCUGCUCACAAAAACGCACCAUGGCUUCAAAGUCUGUAAUGGCUGUUUUGUCUGAUUCCUUUGUAGAGUUUCGUUUUUCCUGCAGUCAAAAAUCACACCUUUUAAACGAUCGUGAGAUUAUGGUGGAAUCAUGUAAAGCGCUAGUUUUUUUUUCUUUCUUACUGCUACAGUUGUUGCUGCCAUACUGACCCUUUUUCGUGCAACCUCCUUAUUGAUGAGGAAUAUAAUUUGCUCUUUGUCUUUCCGGGAGUAGUAAAUGCGACAUAAGGACGGCAGUCCAUCUCUUCCUGCUCGCCCGGAUUCUUGGUAGUAGCUGGCUAUGGAUUUUGCAAGGUUCCAAUGGGCAACAAACCUGUGGUCAUAACAGAAAGCCCCCUGUAGCUAUACAGUGAUUUAAACAAGAUGGACGGGGGGAAAAAAACAAGUUUUACCUUACAUUAGCCUUGUCUACACCCAUACCAAAACUGAUAGUGGCUGCAAUAACGGUCACUUUUCCCUGCAUCCAGUCACUCUGUGCCUCUGUGCGAUCUCCCGUCUUCAGACCUGAACAUAGACAAAAAUAAUAAUUACUCCUCAUAA